UUUAUUUUCACUUUCCUUUUUAAUUACAUUGCUGAAAUUUGUUGUUAGAUUUCAAUUUUCUUUAUUACAUAUGAACGCCUCCGUGAAUCGCAAGACAUCUUAGCCAAGUAUACCGACAGAAUUUCCGUAAUGGUUGAAAGAUAUUCAAAGACUGAUCUACCUCAGAUGGAGAAGAAGAAGCUGGAAGGCGUAAGCUAAUACCCAUUUCAGUUAUUGGGUUGCUGCAAGUUCUUACUAUCAAAUUAACUUGAAAUCACUGUUUGUUAUUUGAGAGUUUGUUCUAUUCUGAUUUGAU